AACGAACGCUGGCGGCAUGCCUAACACAUGCAAGUCGAACGAGAUAUUCGGGAGUAGCGGGGCACGGGUGAGUAAAGAGUGGGAAACUGGCCAUAGGCACGGAAUCAAUCUCCGUGAGGGGUGGUAAUAACGGAUAAAAUCUUAGGAUAAAAGAUUUCUAGCCCUUGGUUGGGCGUGCGGUGGAUUAGAUAGUUGGGAGGGUAUAAGCCUACCAAGGCGGCGAUCCAUAGCUGGAGUGAGAGGAUGAUCAGCCACACUGGGACUGAGACACGGCCCAGACUCCUACGUUAGGCAACAGUGGAGAGUAUUACACAAUGGGCGAGAGCCUGAUCCAGCAGUGCCGCGUGUGUAAUGAUGUCUUGAUUGUUAUGAAGCUCUAUGGCCCGAGAUGUUAAUGACGGUACCGAGAGAAUAAGCCCCGGCUAACUCCGUG
rnacentral:rRNA from 1 species